GCCCUACGGGACGCAGCAGUGAGGAAUAUUGGUCAAUGGGCGAGAGCCUGAACCAGCCAAGUCGCGUGAGGGAAGACGGCCCUACGGGUUGUAAACCUCUUUUGUCAGGGAGCAAGAACGGAUACGUGUAUCCGAGCGAGAGUACCUGAAGAAAAAGCAUCGGCUAACUCCGUGCCAGCAGCCGCGGUAAUACGGAGGAUGCGAGCGUUAUCCGGAUUUAUUGGGCGUAUAGCGAGCGCAGGUGGUUUAUUAGGUCUGGUGUAAAAGGAAGUGGCUCAACCAUUGUAUGCAUUGGAAGCUGGUAG
rnacentral:rRNA from 1 species